UGUGUAGGCGGUUCUCCAAGUUUGGUGUGAAAUCUCCCGGCUCAACCGGGAGGGUGCGCCGAAAACUGGGGGGCUAGAGUGCGGGAUGGGAGAGUGGAAUUCCUGGUGUAGCGGUGAAAUGCGUAGAUAUCAGGAGGAACACCGGUGGUGUAGACGGCUCUCUGGACCGUAACUGACGCUGAGACACGAAAGCGUGGGUAGCAAACAGGAUUAGAUACCCUGGUAGUCCACGCCCUAAACGAUGCAUAUUUGGUGUAGGUCAUUCAGUUGAUCUGUGCCGGAGCUAACGCGUUAAAUAUGCCGCCUGGGGAGUACAGUCGCAAGGCUGAA
rnacentral:rRNA from 1 species